rnacentral:rRNA from 1 species
UACAGAGGGGGCAAGCGUUGUUCGGAAUUACUGGGCGUAAAGGGCGCGUAGGCGGCCUUCUAAGUCGAACGUGAAAUCCCCGGGCUCAACCCGGGAACUGCGUCCGAUACUGGAAGGCUUGAAUCCGGGAGAGGGAUGCGGAAUUCCAGGUGUAGCGGUGAAAUGCGUAGAUAUCGGGAGGAACACCUGUGGCGAAAGCGGCUCACUGGACCACAACUGACGCUGAGGCGCGAAAGCUAGGGGAGCAAACAGG